AGCGAACGCUGGCGGCAGGCUUAACACAUGCAAGUCGAGCGGGCCCUUCGGGGUCAGCGGCAGACGGGUGAGUAACACGUGGGAACGUACCCUUUGGUUCGGAAUAACGCUGGGAAACUAGCGCUAAUACCGGAUACGCCCUUUUGGGGAAAGGCUUGCUGCCGAAGGAUCGGCCCGCGUCUGAUUAGCUAGUUGGUGGGGUAAUGGCCUACCAAGGCGACGAUCAGUAGCUGGUCUGAGAGGAUGAUCAGCCACACUGGGACUGAGACACGGCCCAGACUCCUACGGGAGGCAGCAGUGGGGAAUAUUGGACAAUGGGCGCAAGCCUGAUCCAGCCAGGCCGCGUGAGUGAUGAAGGCCUUAGGGUUGUAAAGCUCUUUUGUCCGGGACGAUAAUGACGGUACCGGAAGAAUAAGCCCCGGCUAACUUCGUG
rnacentral:rRNA from 1 species